rnacentral:rRNA from 1 species
GCACAAGCGGUGGAGCAUGUGGUUCAAUUCGAAGCAACGCGCAGAACCUUACCAGCCCUUGACAUCCCGGUCGCGGAGACCAGAGACGGACUCCUUCAGUUCGGCUGGACCGGAGACAGGUGCUGCAUGGCUGUCGUCAGCUCGUGUCGUGAGAUGUUGGGUUAAGUCCCGCAACGAGCGCAACCCUCGCCCUUAGUUGCCAUCAUUUAGUUGGGCACUCUAAGGGGACUGCCGGUGAUAAGCCGGAGGAAGGUGGGGAUGACGUCAAGUCCUCAUGGCCCUUACGGGCUGGGCUACACACGUGCUACAAUGGCGGUGACAGAGGGAUGCAAAAGGGCAACCUUUCGCAAAUCUCAAAAAGCCGUCUCAGUUCGGAUUGGGGUCUGCAACUCGACCCCAUGAAGUUGGAAUCGCUAGUAAUCGCAGAUCAGCACGCUGCGGUGAAUACGUUCCCGGGC